UACGUAGGGGCCUAGCGUUGUCCGGAUUUAUUGGGCGUAAAGAGCUCGUGAGCGGUUUGGUAAGUCGGGUGUGAAAUCUCCACGCUCAACGUGGAGGGGCCACCCGAUACUGCCAUGACUGGAGUCCGGUAGGGGAGUGUGGAAUUCCCGGUGUAGCGGUGAAAUGCGCAGAUAUCAGGAGGAACACCCGGUGGCGAAGGCGGGUCUCUGGGCCGAUACUGACACUGAGGAGCGAAAGCGUGGGGAGCGAACAGG
rnacentral:rRNA from 1 species